UACGAAGGGGGCUAGCGUUGCUCGGAAUUACUGGGCGUAAAGGGCGUGUAGGCGGACAGUUUAGUCAGAGGUGAAAGCCCAGGGCUCAACCUUGGAACUGCCUUUGAUACUGGCUGUCUUGAGUAUGGGAGAGGUGUAUGGAACUCCGAGUGUAGAGGUGAAAUUCGUAGAUAUUCGGAAGAACACCAGUGGCGAAGGCGACACACUGGCCCGAUACUGACGCUGAAACGCGAAAGCGUGGGGAGCAAACAGG
rnacentral:rRNA from 1 species